AUGAGGCUGCCUACAGACAUUCACGGACCCUGGCUCUUACAGGGGACUUUAAGCACCCUGAUAUCGGCUGGAGGAACAACACAGCAAGGCACAAGCAAUCCAGGAGGUUCCUGGAAAGUGCUGAUGUUAACUCAGGUGAUGGAGGAGCCAAUGAGGAGAGGUGUGCUGCUGGACCUUGUACUAACAAACAAGGAAGGGCUGGUUGGAAAUGUGAAGGUUGGGGGCAGCCUUGGCUACAGGGACCUUGAGAUGGUAGAGUUCAGGAUCCUACGAGGAGGAACCAGGGCAAUAAGUAGGACAGCAACCCUGGAAUGCAGGAAAGCUAACUUUGGCCUCUUCAGGGACCUGCUUGGAAGAAUCCCAUGGGGUAGGGCCCUGGAAGGAAGAGGGGUCCAGGAGAACUGGUUAAUAUUCAAGGGUCACUUCCUCCAGGCUCAAGAGCGGUGCAUCCCUAUGAGCAAGAAGUCAAGCAAAGCGGGCAGGAGACCUGCAUGGAUGAACAAGGAACUCCUGACAAAACUCCAGCAGAAGAAGGAAGUCUACAGAAUGUGGACAAGGGGACAGGCCACUUGGGAGGAAUAUAGGGACGUUGUCAGAGUCUGCAGGGAUGCGACGAGCAAGGCCAAGGCCCACUUGGAAUUAAAUCUGGUAAGGGAUGUCAAGGGCAACAAGAAGGGCUUCUUCAAAUACAUCAGUAGCAAAAGGAAGACUAGGGAAAAUGUGGGCCCCCUACUGAAUGGGGCAGGGGCCCUGGUGACGGAGGACACAGAGAAGGCAGAGAUACUGAGUCCCUUCUUUGCUUCAGUCUUCACUGCUAAGGCCAGCCCUCAGGAAUCCCGGACCCUGGAGACCAGGGAGAAAGUCUGGAGAAAGCAAGACUUUCCCUUGGGCGAGAAGGAUCGGGUCAGAGAUCAUUUAGGCAGACUUGACACCCACAGGUCCGUGGGCCCUGAUGGCAUGCACCCGCAAGUGCUGAGGGAGCUGGCGGACGUCAUUGCUAGGUCCCUCUCAAUGAUCUUUGAACGGCCAUGGCAAUCGGGAGAGGUGCCUGAGGACUGGAAGAAAGCCAGUGUCACCCCAGCGCCUUCCAAAAGGGCAAGAAGGAGGAGCCUGGGAACUACAGGCCUGUCAGCCUCACCUCCAUCCCGGGAAAGGUGA
rnacentral:lncRNA from 1 species